UAAAAUAGAAUUGGAAAUCAAGGGGAAUGGUGUUAAAAAGUUCAAAAUUGAUUGUUCAAAACUGAUUGUUCAAAAGGAUGCGCACUAAUCCAUUCAGUAACCAUGACUAGUAAUAAUUACUCAGCAGAAUUACCUGAUACAACAUCAAGUGAUGGAGACCAAGAUGAUCAAUUUGAAAAAAGGAUUGAAGAUACUGGAUGUUCAAAAGAACAUUAUGAUUUGCAGGAUUGCUUUUAUGAAACACAUGACUGGAGAAAAUGUUCAACAUUUUUGCUAAACUUUAAGAAGUGCAUGGAUAAACAAAAGGUUAUGAUCAAUAAAAAGGUGUAGCUGUGUUCUUUUUGUGUUGCUAUGUUAAUUAACAGAUAAUUUUCAAAAUAAUGCUGCUAAUGAGCUGCUUGUGCAACAGAGCGUGUCUCCAUGGUUUUUCUGCACAAAUUGAUUGUCUGAACACUUUAUCUUAACCUUUUGAUCAAACAUUUUCCACCCUUCACCUGGAAUUUUUUUUGUUUAAUUAAGCAAAAAUGUUAUAAAUAAAAAAUAGAAAUUUGAUUAACAUUAGAAAAAUAAAUUUCUACAAUAUUCCAAGUAUGCCUUGUAUUUUUUUCAAUAGUUUCAUACUUUCCGUUUGUUUUGCUUCUAUGUUGAAGCAAACAAGUUUAACUAAUGCACAACUUGUUAGUUUCAUUGAUAGAUUCAAUCUUUUUACAAACAAUUGCUUAAUGCACAAAAGUUAGAGGAAAUAAUAUAUAAUUAGAUUUAUUCCAGAUCAACUGGAAUACUAAAUUUUGAGUUUUUGUUUGAUUAAUUUUAGAUCAACUGGAUUCUUUUUGUUUGAGUUUUUUAUGGGUUUUAUAAAUCUUUCUUCUGCGGAUAAUAUUAGCCUAUUAGAUUUUCUUUUUUUUUUUUUUUUUUUUUUUUGAAAUUUCAAAUUGUAGCAGCUUGGUAGUUUUAGAAUUUUUGCUCAAUGGAAGAAAAAUUUUUGUUCUGUGUCUGCGUAACAGCUGGAGACCAUAAAGUUUAUGGACCUGAGUGGAAAGAAGCAGAGCAUGGAAAAACUUUAAUUGAUCUAUUUGUGCAAGCUUGUGGAAAUAAAAUUCUCGGACAGCAAGUCCAAGUUCUUGUAUCAAAGGAUCGAUCAUUUUUAGAAGCUGCUGUUGUACAAGUAUGCACACCACUCUCAACUUUGACUGAGAAUUGUCAAAGUUAUAUACAGUUCAUAUUAAAAGCUGAAACAUUCAAGAGUUUAUUUGAUCAGAAGUAUGAACAGGUUUUUAUGCAAGAAAAGGAUUGUUCAAAAAAAAUUGAUUUGAUAAGUGCAUAUACACAUAUUAAACCAAGUGUUCUUACAAACUGGAAAAAUCAAUUCAAUUCUACAUAUGAACCCUUUAGAGAAAACUUGGCUCCACCAUCACCAAAAGAAGUUUGGAAUGAGCAAGUUGCAAUUCAUAACUUAACAACAUGUUCUUCAUUUGAAAAUAUGACUGUACAAGAAAUUUGUGAUGAAAUUUGUAGGAUCAAAACAACUGAGAAACUUAAAAACAAAGCACCAUUACAGACAUUAGGUCAUUCUAACGAAUUGGAGGUAAGGUGUGACAACCAAUCAAAUGAUUGUGAUUUAAUAAAAAACAAUUCUCCAUCUACUAUAGAAAAAUCUGCUGUCAAAUGUGUGGAAAAGAUUUCAAAUAAAAGUCCCCUGACAAAUACAUCAAAACAAAAUGUUAAAAGUUGUGUUUCUAAAAGUUUAUCACCUAGACAACCUAUUUCUGAUCGUCUCUCUUUAUUAGCUCAACCACGUAGGAGAUUAUUUAAUGAGAAAGAAUCAGACAACAAAACUCGCAGAAAGUCAUUGUCAUCUUCAAAAGAGAGUACUAUUCCAGCAAUAAAUGAUUUAUUUAAUGUUGCUUCAAAGUCUAAGAAAUCUGAUAAAUCUUCAAAUCGCAGAAGUACAGUUAAUAGUACAUUUAUACGAGAACUGUCUCCUCAAGGUAAUGAAAGUACUGCUAAAGACUACAUUAAGAAAACUUUUUUGAACCAAAAAGGAAAAUCAGUUAAAAAUAAUGUGAAUAGUUUAACAAAAAAUUUGAGUCUAACUGAGCUUGAUAAAGACAUUUUAUAUAGUAAUAUACAUAAUCCUCACUCCAAAGAAGAAAAAUGUAAAAAUAAUUAUCAUAACUCAAAUAUAAAAGACACUUUAGAUUCGGAUGUUAAUUUAAUCGAUUUUAACAAUACUCCAUCUAAUAAAACUGUAUUUCAGCCAAAACAGUACUCUUCUUCUGAAACAACUUCUUCCUCUGAAAAAGCUUUCACUCAAAAUAGUUUGAAGAAAACAUGUUCAUCUCCGUCUUUAUUGGAGAGCAUUUCAAUGGAAAAAGAAAGUUCCUCGCUUACCCCAGAUUUGCUUGAUUUUAUUGGUUGUCAAGAAUCUUUAAAUGAGUCGAACAAAAAUGUAGACGAAUUAGUUUGGUCAAAUUUUAGAGGCAUUAAGUUCACUAAAUCUGAUGACCUCAAUGCAACUUUUAUUUUGGAUAGAGAAAAGGAACUUGCAGAUCAUAAUAUUCUCAAAGUAUCAGAUCCUAAUAUAUCUCAACUAUCUGAUCAUAGUAACUCCAAAAUAUCAGAUCGUGUUAUCUCCAAAAUAUCAGAUCAUAAUGUCUCCCUUGAAGAAAAAGAUUCAUGUCUAACUACAAAACAUAAAUCAAUUACAUUACCACAUAAUCAUCAGAUGUCAAGUUCUUUAAGUUCAGCAUUUGAUAAGACCCAAUGUCAUAAUCCUGAAACUACAAAAAAUAACGAAAUUGAACUUUCUAUUGACUUGAAAAACGCAGCAUUAGACGAAGCUAAAAAUCAAAAAACAAAAGAAUUUGCUAAAACACCAGAAAAGACACGUAAACACUGGGGUAUAAAUGUAGAGGGAAUUGACAAUAUUGUGGUAUCUUCUCUGCAAGCGUUCUCCAAUGAGCUUCGAGCAACAACAGAAAUUGUUGCUAACAAUAUUCGGUCUUUGUAUGAAGACUGGAGACUAAAGAAUGAAGGUGAAACUAUUACAGAUGAACUGCAAUCGCUUAUUUUAAAAAAGACAUCAAAAAACUCAGACACCAAUGCUAAACAAGUGGUGAAGAAGGAUGCAGCAUCAAGAAAUUUUCCUCAAACCCUGCUUUGGAUGCAUGGUAUAAAGAUAAAAUAAGAAGAUUAUCUGCUGCUCCUCAUCGCCAUCCAAAAAAACAAAAAAAUCUGCAGAUGCAAAUUGUAUCGACCUUUCUCUAUCAACAAUAUCAAAUUUAAAAAGAGAAUAAUAAAGAGUGAUAGUGGUAACUCCGAUGGAAUUGCUGCUGUUUUUGGCAAUUUGAGAAAAAUUGAUAUCAAGUUGAAAACAAUAGAGCUUGCCACUCGGGCAAUGUUUCAACAACUUGAAGAAGAAAAAAGCUCUGAAAAAAAAGUUGAAAAGGAAGUAAGCAAGAUGAAGUCUUCAAUCUCGCGUUCGA
rnacentral:misc_RNA from 1 species